rnacentral:rRNA from 1 species
AGCGAACGCUGGCGGCAGGCCUAACACAUGCAAGUCGAACGAAGCCUUCGGGCUUAGUGGCGGACGGGUGAGUAACACGUGGGAACGUACCUUUUGGUUCGGAAUAACGCAGAGAAAUUUGCGCUAAUACCGAAUGAGCCCUUAGGGGGAAAGAUUUAUCGCCGAAAGAUCGGCCUGCGUUGGAUUAGGUAGUUGGUGUGGUAAAGGCGCACCAAGCCUACGAUCCAUAGCUGGUCUGAGAGGAUGAUCAGCCACACUGGGACUGAGACACGGCCCAGACUCCUACGGGAGGCAGCAGUGGGGAAUCUUGCGCAAUGGGCGAAAGCCUGACGCAGCCAUGCCGCGUGAAUGAUGAAGGUCUUAGGAUUGUAAAAUUCUUUUACCAGGGACGAUAAUGACGGCACCUGGAGAAAAAGCCCCGGCUAACUUCGUGCCAGCCGCCGCAGUAAUAC